CACAGAUAAGUGCCCGACGUCACAUGACUUUAACACAGCAAAGAUAAGACUAGACCCCAGGAUGUCUGCUCUUAACAACUGUUGAUUUCAACCUUGUUUCAACAGCUAAAGUGUCUACACGACUAUUCUCCUUGGAUUCCCUUUUGGCAAAAAUUCCUUCAAGGCCCCGUUCCAAUGGCACCUUCUUCCGGAAACCUUUGCUGACCCUCCCCAGGCAGGUCUCUUCUCUGAGUCCCCAGAGGUUCAUCCACACCUCCAUCGUAGCACUCACCACAACGAAUCGUAGUUGUUCUUUUCACGCUGUCUGAAGUUGGAUCACGAGCUCGUCAAAGCCCUGGGCAGCUUCUGCUUCCUCUUUCUGUCCCCGGAGCCCAGCAGGUCAUCAGGCACAUAGAAGGUGCUGGUGGUCUGGGAAUGUGAACGUGAGAAGCGGCCUUGUGCCGGGAGCUGUGCUAAGUGCUGGGAGGACACCGACGACUAGGACAGAACACACUCCCUGGCCACCCAGCGUCCGCUCUGGUGGUCAAGGAGAAAAAGGGAGAGGAACAGUUGAAAGAGACAAGCCUUCAGCAGCGAUAUGGUAAGAGAGGAGGUGUAAGAUUUAGCAAUAAAUUAGUAAUGGACAUGAAGUUGAAGGGAGUUUAUGAAGUUAUCAGAUCAAGUGCUAUUGAGAAAUUACGAAG
rnacentral:lncRNA from 1 species